ACGCUGGCGGCAGGCCUAACACAUGCAAGUCGAGCGGUAGCACAGGAGAGCUUGCUCUCUGGGUGACGAGCGGCGGACGGGUGAGUAAUGUCUGGGAAACUGCCUGAUGGAGGGGGAUAACUACUGGAAACGGUAGCUAAUACCGCAUGACCUCGCAAGAGCAAAGUGGGGGACCUUCGGGCCUCACGCCAUCGGAUGUGCCCAGAUGGGAUUAGCUAGUAGGUGGGGUAAUGGCUCACCUAGGCGACGAUCCCUAGCUGGUCUGAGAGGAUGACCAGCCACACUGGAACUGAGACACGGUCCAGACUCCUACGGGAGGCAGCAGUGGGGAAUAUUGCACAAUGGGCGCAAGCCUGAUGCAGCCAUGCCGCGUGUGUGAAGAAGGCCUUAGGGUUGUAAAGCACUUUCAGCGAGGAGGAAGGGUUCAGUGUUAAUAGCACUGAGCAUUGACGUUACUCGCAGAAGAAGCACCGGCUAACUCCGUGCCAGCAGCCGCGGUAAUACGGAGGGUGCAAGCGUUAAUCGGAAUUACUGGGCGUAAAGCGCACGCAGGCGGUUUGUUAAGUCAGAUGUGAAAUCCCCGAGCUUAACUUGGGAACUGCAUUUGAAACUGGCAAGCUAGAGUCUUGUAGAGGGGGGUAGAAUUCCAGGUGUAGCGGUGAAAUGCGUAGAGAUCUGGAGGAAUACCGGUGGCGAAGGCGGCCCCCUGGACAAAGACUGACGCUCAGGUGCGAAAGCGUGGGGAGC
rnacentral:rRNA from 1 species